rnacentral:lncRNA from 12 species
AUGCUUGGUAAACAAGACUCAGAGAUUUGGACUCUGCCCCUUCCUCAAUGGUGGAAGAGAAGUAACAGUGAAGUUGGAGCAUUUCUGAUUAGGAGACUAAGUGUCAGAGAGGUCAUCCCACUUGUCCAAGGUCACAGUAAUUUGAGAACACAUAUACAGGCAACAGUUCACCAAAUCCAAAUGCAAAUUUAUCCCAUGAUCUGCUCCGUGGCCUGAAAAUAUGACCUUCAAAUAUCACUAAUCUUCUAAAGAACAAGAUAAUAGGAAAAUAGAAUAUCACCAGAAAGGAUAUUUUGAGAAAAAUACCAUUUACAAGUUAGUAUUUUAAAAUGAAAUGUUAUCAGCACUAAAAGGAGCUCCAACUCUCGAGGAUGACUGAUUUAUAGCUGAAACAAAGAAAAAAAUUUAAUAAGACUCCUAGUAAAUUGGUUGUUUGCACAUUGACAAAAUAAAAGUCUGAGUUGUCUGAAAAGUUAUCA